rnacentral:lncRNA from 1 species
GUUUGGACCGACUCAAAUUACUUAAUACAUCUGCCCACUACUGGUGCUUUCUUUACAUGGACAAAUGGUAGAGGUGGUUCUCGACACACUGAUAGAAGAAGACUUGACAGGACCAUUUGUAACCAAGCUUGGUUAGAUGCUUGUACAUCUUUGAAUUGCUCAACCCUGUUUAGAAAUAGAUCUGAUUAUUUUCCUUUGC